rnacentral:lncRNA from 1 species
CGUGCCCAGCUUGACUGUAUUUUCAAAUGUAAGGCCUAGCAUGUUUCCUUGGGGAGGUGACAUCGACAAUGAGGACAAGGGAGGAAACAUCAGCUCACUUGGGAUGCACCCAUAAGCAGAUGAGAAGCCUGUGCCACCUCCCGCCCACGCACAGAGGUCUGUUGCCUCCCAGCAAGAGAGCCGCCAUCCCCACCAACGCGACCACUCACAAGACACAGCCCCACCGAGGGGAGCAUCCCGACAUCACCCCAUGACUCAGCCUCCUGGGACUACUAGCCUAGCAUGAUGACGUGGUGCAUGAAGUGCCUGUAUCAAGGAGAGCCUUGGGAGCACAUCAGUCACCCGACUCACCACCAGCAAUGACUGUCACUUCCCCUACAAGCUUCGCUAAGGAUUUACAACAGCAGCGAUAGGAUCUGACACAGGUGGACAGCUGCGCGGUUUCUCAGUCACGCACCCAGUGGGACUCAGAGCAUCUUCAGGAAGCACUGCUGUCUUCGUCGUGUGAUAUGAGAGCUUAGAUCCAUCAGUGAGCGUGCUGAGCCCCUUCCAACCUGAUCUCCCUCCCACGCCCCCAAGUUCCUCCUUACUGUGAAAUUCUGGAGCCACUGCUGGUCACAUUUCAGGGAUUUGUGGGGCACUUGCACUACCCUGGGAUGGCCACCCCAUAGGACCCAGUGCAGCACACUGGCAGCCACUGUGCAGAGAAAUAAUAACAAUAUGAUAAUAAAGAACAUUCACUGAGUGAUGACUUUGUGCCUGGCACAGCAUGCGUUAGCUCAUUUCAUCCAUUUGACAAUCCUGUGAGGCGGUGUUAUGGCUUGAACAUCUCCCUGCCCUAAAAGAUGCAGGAGUUGGCCGGGUGUGAUGGCUCAUGUCUGUAACCCCAGCACUUUUGGAGGUCGAGGCGAGUGGAUCACAAGGUCAGGAGUUCAAGACCAGCCUGGCCAAGAUGGUGAAACCCUGUCUGUACUAAAAAUACAAAAAAUUAGCCAGGCGUGGUGGCAGGCACCUGUAAUCCCAGCUACUCAGGAGGCUGAGGCAGAGAAUUGCUUGAACCUGGGAGGCGGAGAUUGCAGUGAGCCAAGAUCGUGCCACUGCACUCCAGGCUGGGCAACAGAGCAAGACUCCGUCUCAAAAAAAAAAAAAAAAAAAAAAAAGAUGCAGAAGUCCUAACCCCAGUACUUGUGAAUGUAACCUUAUUUUGGAAAUAGGGUCUUUGCAGAUGAUCAAGUUAAGUUGAGGUCAUUAGGGCCCUGAUCCAGCAUGACUGUUGUCCUUAUAAAAAGAGAAAUUUGGACACAGAGGCACACACAGGCAAGAACCAUGUGAGUGUGAAAGCAGAGGUCUGGUUAAUACGUGCAUAAGUCAAGGAACAUCAAAGACUGCGAGAAAAGCAGCAGAAGCUAGGAGAGGUCUCGAACAGAGACUUCCUCACAGCCUUAGAAAGACUCAGCCCUACUAAUACCUUGAUCUGGGCCUGCCAGCCUCCAGAAAUGAGAGGCAAUAUAUUUCUGUAGUUAAAGCCACCCAGUUUGUGUUACUUUGCUAUGUAUGAUAGCCCUAGCGAACUACUACAGGCGGGUGUUAUUAUUACCC